AGUGGCGGACGGGUGAGUAACACGUAAGAAUUUGCCUUUAGGAGGGGGACAACAGCUGGAAACGGCUGCUAAUACCCCAUAUGCUUUCGAGUGAAAUGGAUUUCCGCCUGAAGAGAAGCUUGCGGCUGAUUAGCUUGUUGGUGAGGUAAUGGCUCACCAAGGCGACGAUCAGUAUCUGGUUUGAGAGGACGAUCAGACACACUGGAACUGAGACACGGUCCAGACUCCUACGGGAGGCAGCAGUGGGGAAUUUUCCGCAAUGGGCGAAAGCCUGACGGAGCAAUACCGCGUGAGGGAUGAAGGCCUAUGGGUUGUAAACCUCUUUUUUCAGGGAGGAACAAAAUGACGUGUACCUGAAGAAUAAGCAUCGGCUAACUCCGUGCCAGCAGCCGCGGUAAGACGGGGGAUGCAAGUGUUAUCCGGAAUCACUGGGCGUAAAGCGUCUGUAGGUGGUUAAGUAAGUCAACUUGUUAAAUCUUGAGGCUCAACCUCAAAAUCGCAGUCGAAACUGCUUGACUAGAGUAUAGUAGGGGUAAAGGGAAUUUCCAGUGGAGCGGUGAAAUGCGUAGAUAUUGGAAAGAACACCGAUGGCGAAGGCACUUUACUGGGCUAUUACUAACACUGAGAGACGAAAGCUAGGGUAGCAAAUGGGAUUAGAUACCCCAGUAGUCCUAGCUGUAAACAAUGGAUACUAGAUGUU
rnacentral:rRNA from 1 species